CCUACAUCAAUUCUUUGAGCCACCUUAUACCACAAAUUCACAUAUCCUCGUCACUCGUACAAUCGCCUACGCUAGCUCUGAGCAAUCAUCCCUUGAACAGUGAUUCAUCACCAUUAUCAUCAACAAAACCACCACUGUUCAUGUUGCAACAGUCAACAGUAACUUGGCUUUUUCAUCAACUUAACUCCCAUUCCAUCAGUGGCAGAAUGAGGACCUCCUACUAUCAAUACAGAAGCAACCAUAUACACAAGAAGCACCACAAGAUGCUCCGAGACACUCCAUGACAACUAGUUCAGGAAACUUUUUGGUUUUUUUUUUUGGUUUUUUUUUUAAAAUUUUAUCUUAAAAUCCAAAAUUCUUUUUAAACUACUUUCUAAUUAUUAUUUUAAAUUCUACAAUCUUAAUUUUUUUUUAAAUCCUAAACCCAACC
rnacentral:lncRNA from 1 species